rnacentral:rRNA from 1 species
GACGAACGCUGGCGGCGUGCCUAGUACAUGCAAGUAGAACGCUGAAGGAGGAGCUUGCUCUUCUGGACGAGUUGCGAACGGGUGAGUAACGCGUAGGUAACCUGCCUGGUAGCGGGGGAUAACUAUUGGAAACGAUAGCUAAUACCGCAUAACAGUAGAUGUUGCAUGACAUUUGCUUAAAAGGUGCAAUUGCACCACUACCAGAUGGACCUGCGUUGUAUUAGCUAGUUGGUGGGGUAACGGCUCACCAAGGCGACGAUACAUAGCCGACCUGAGAGGGUGAUCGGCCACACUGGGACUGAGACACGGCCCAGACUCCUACGGGAGGCAGCAGUAGGGAAUCUUCGGCAAUGGACGGAAGUCUGACCGAGCAACGCCGCGGGAGUGAAGAAGGUUUUCGGAUCGUAAAGCUCUGUUGUAAGAGAAGAACGAGUGUGAGAGUGGAAAGUUCACACUGUGACGGUAUCUUACCAGAAAGGGACGGCUAACUACGUG